rnacentral:rRNA from 1 species
CCUACGGGAGGCAGCAGUGAGGAAUAUUGGUCAAUGGGCGGGAGCCUGAACCAGCCAAGCCGCGUGCGGGAAGACGGUUCUACGUAUUGUAAACUUCUUUUGUAAAGGAAUAAAGGUGGGGACGAGUCUUCGGAUGAGGGUACUUUAAGAAAAAGGAUCGGCUAACUCCGUGCCAGCAGCCGCGGUAAUACGGAGGAUCCGAGCGUUAUCCGGAUUUAUUGGGUUUAAAGGGUGCGUAGGCGGCCUGUUAAGUUAGCGGUGAAAUGUCCGGGGUUAACCCGCGAAGUGCCUUUGAUACUGGCGGGCUAGAGUUGAGGUGAGGUAGGCGGAAUGCGCGGUGUAGCGGUGAAAUGCUUAGAUAUCACGCAGAACACCGAUUGCGAAGGCAGCGUACCAACCCAACACUGACGCUGAGGCACGAAAGCGUGGGUAUCAAACAGGAUUAGAUACCCCAGUAGUC